rnacentral:lncRNA from 1 species
GGGCAUUAAUUUAUCAAUCAAUAUUAUUUCCACUUAAAAAUUCAUGUCAUGAACUGUGUUGACCUUGUUGUGCAGAACUUUAGCUUUAGGUCCCAGUUAUUUGACCCAUAGUCCCAACCCAAUUCUACAGCAAGAGUUUUCACUUUGUUCACCAACUUCCUUCAUUGCAACAAUAUCUACAGUACACGAAAUAAGGACUACAAAAAAAACAUCAAAAAAGAAAGAAAAAUAUAAAAUGAUAAAAAAUGAAAAAAUAAAAACAAGAAAAAAUAACCAAACAACAAUAACAAAGCAAAACUGAAACGAACAGUGGAAAUGUACAAAACCCACGUCAAUGGUUUUUUAAGCCUUUAAUGAUGCUUUGAAAUGGCGAUUCCGG